GAUGAACGCUGGCGGCGUGCUUAACACAUGCAAGUCGAACGGAAAGGCCCAAGCUUGCUUGGGUACUCGAGUGGCGAACGGGUGAGUAACACGUGGGUGAUCUGCCCUGCACUUCGGGAUAAGCCUGGGAAACUGGGUCUAAUACCGGAUAGGACCACAUUUUGGAUGGUGUGGUGGAAAGUUUUUCGGUGUGGGAUGAGCUCGCGGCCUAUCAGCUUGUUGGUGGGGUAAUGGCCUACCAGGGCGUCGACGGGUAGCCGGCCUGAGAGGGUGUACGGCCACAUUGGGACUGAGAUACGGCCCAGACUCCUACGGGAGGCAGCAGUGGGGAAUAUUGCACAAUGGGCGCAAGCCUGAUGCAGCGACGCCGCGUGGGGGAUGACGGCCUUCGGGUUGUAAACUCCUUUCGCUAGGGACGAAGCGUUAUGUGACGGUACCUGGAGAAGAAGCACCGGCUAACUACGUG
rnacentral:rRNA from 1 species